rfam:Solanum lycopersicum cultivar Heinz 1706 chromosome 7, whole genome shotgun sequence.
GACAUAUAUAGGGACAAAAGUCGGCUCUACAAAUAAAAGUUACUCUAACAUGCUGAUCUUCCCCAAGAGUUUAUACGGGAAGGUUUGGCACCUUGAUGUCGGCUUUUUCGCCAUCGGGCUGUAGUAUGUUAUAAGGAUUGGAUUGUACGCUCAUUAGUUAAGCGAUAUGUGAGCUGGGUUCAGAAUAUUGUGAGACAGUUCGGUCCAUAUUCGAUAUGAGCGUUAGAGUAUUGAUAUUAAAGAAUCUUUUUCUAGUACGAGAGGAUCGGAAAGAACGCACCUCUGGUGUAUCAGUUAUCGUACCCACGAUAAAUACUGAAUAGCUAAGUGUGAAACGAAUAAUUAUUGGAAUCAUCUAAGUAGUAAGUCCACCCCUUACAUUUAAUAUUAACGGGCAAGUCGAACUUG